rnacentral:rRNA from 1 species
CCUACGGGAGGCAGCAGUGGGGGAUAUUGCACAAUGGGGGAAACCCUGAUGCAGCGACGCCGCGUGGGUGAAGAAGCGCCUCGGCGCGUAAAGCCCUGUCAGCAGGGAAGAAAAUGACGGUACCUGAAGAAUAAGCCCCGGCUAACUACGUGCCAGCAGCCGCGGUAAUACGUAGGGGGCAAGCGUUAUCCGGAUUUACUGGGUGUAAAGGGGGCGCAGUCGGCGAUGCAAGCCAGUGGUGAAAGCCCGGGGCCCAACCCCGGGACUGCCCUUGGAACUGCGUGGCUAGAGUGCAGGAGGGGCAGGCGGAAUUCCUGGUGUAGCGGUGAAAUGCGUAGAUAUCAGGAGGAACACCGAUGGCGAAGGCGGCCUGCUGGACUGCAACUGACGUUGAGGCCCGAAGGCGUGGGGAGCAAACAGGAUUAGAUACCCGUGUAGUC